rnacentral:lncRNA from 1 species
GGCUUGGAAAAAUCUGUCUCCUGAGGAAAAGCAGGCAUAUAUUCAGCUUGCUAAAGAUGAUAGGAUUCGUUACGACAAUGAAAUGAAGUCUUGGGAAGAGCAGAUGGCUGAAGUUGGACGAAGUGAUCUCAUCCGUCGAAGUGUGAAACGAUCCGGAGACAUCUCUGAGCAUUAAGAUGGAAGACGGAGUUGUCAUUGGGAUUAGGCCCAAGAAACCAGUUAGGUCUCAAAGCCUUAAAGUGUCAAACUAGAACGGAUAAAGGUGGUUAACCUUUGACAUUCAGAUCAUUUUUCUGUAGCCAUGGACUUUCUGUUAAUACUUUGAGCCUUGACAGAAGAUGAUGCUGAGUUCUGCCUUUUGCUUAAGAACUGGAACGGAGACUGUCCAUGCAUCUGCAUGCAGUGGUGAAUCAUUCUGCAUUUGAUGGGCUAGAUAGACUGUGAAGUGACUUUCACACUGGUGACAGUUGUGUGGUGGUUUUGUGAUGUUUUUACACUGAUGACCGUUACAUAUGGGUGUGGCCCUUGGGUCCCAGGCCGGACCUGCUCUCCCAGCUGUGGCAGAGCUGUGGAUAACUGCAUUUUCAAAGAAGCUGCCAGGCUUUCCUAGAUGAAAUGAUUCCUAGACAUAAAUCAUGUGUAAGUUGAUGUUUGUAUAUAAUAAGCGAUUGCUGAUGUCCUGAUAGCAUUUUAUAGUAGUAACAGAGAGAUUUACACAUCUUUCUCAAAUUAAGAAAUUAUGUACCAAGUCUAUGCAUAGGUUUUUCUUGCAUAGAAUAAAAACUCUAAUUUUCCAAACAUGUUUCUGAAAUUAUGUAUUUUAAGAUGAACCAUUUGGUUAACAGAUUUUUUUUUUUUCAAUUUUAGGUAGGGACUUUAGAAAUUACUUUUCAUUUGAGAGUAUUCAUAGAGCUUGUGUGGUAUAAAUUUUUAAAUGAGAAAAUGUGAAAAACAAGUCUGCAAAGUCAGAAAUCUGAAAGCUUAUCCAUGACAGCUAAAGGCCUAUGCAGGAGAAAGCCAACUGUGGUGAGCCAGCCAGGUCCAGCUCACUAACUGCUCUUCAGGGCCUACUCAUCAAGAAAUGGAUUUAUGUUCUAAAUAGGUUUUUAAAAAGGAAAGUAUCAGUGUGAAAAUUAAUAUGAUCUUUAGUGUUUGUGAAUAGAAUUUCUUGGAACACAGCCACAUGCUUUCUUGGGUUUGUUGUGUGUGGGUGCUCUGUGCUCCAGAGACUACACUGGGAAACCACAGCAUACAGGGAUGGCCCUUCGCAGACAGUUUGCCACCAUGGUGUCUCACGGCCACUGGCCAUGCAAGGCUUUUCCUCAGAUGUCCUUGAUGUUUCUGUGAUAUUGUCACCCUAUCUUGGGGUCAUCACUGGGUCCCUAUAAGCCUAACUGUUCUCUGUGUUAGCAAGGAAAAUAUUCUUUAACCUGGAAUCCUGGUGUAGCACAGUACAGAAGACCACUGUGUGGAGCGAGACCCUCCUAAUCUUUACUGUUGCACAGGAAAAAGUGUCUUCCCCACUUUGAGCUGGCAAAUCCCAUAAGCCCUUAGAGAACUCAUGGCUUCAACCACCACACCACUGAGCAGAUCUCUGAGACACAGGACAACAGAGUUCAUACUCAUGUAUGUUUUGUAUUGAGGAGGCUUAGAGAUUGUACAUUUUGGGAAAGUAAGUUUGCAGUCACUGAACUUGACAAGGUAGGAACAGAAGAACGCAUGGAGGAGAGAUGUAAGAGUUAUAUAUGUAAAACAGGGUAUUUGAGCUGGGUAGAAAACUUGCCUAGAAUGUACAAGGCCUUGGAUCCAAAUCCCAGAACUGCAACUCUCCCCAGAAGAGAUAAUCAGAAUUUUAGAGAUGAAUUUAAGAAAAUAUAAUUUUUCCCGUGGAUUGGAAUUCUGGGUUGUUGGAUGGCAUGGGUUUAAGCCAUAGUUUGAAGGUGGUGGAAGGAGGCCAGUGUGAACCAGUGCAGUCUGUCUUUCCAAAGUGCAAAUCCAGGAGAGACGUGAGCUCUACACGCCCCUGGUUUCUGGAAAGGAACUAACUCCAAGCUGUCCUUAGAAUGGAGAAAAUGGUGACUCAGAGAAUUGACCAUGUGCUUCAGAGCAACUCAGGAGCAGCAGGCACUACAGCGAUACAGGGAUGCCCGGACCUCUAAGAUGUAACUACUUAGCUCCUAGCUUUCCAGGCACCCUGCAGAGUGUUCAAGGACUCGGAGCUCAGUCUGGGAAGGGAAUGGGAAAGGUAGAGGCCUGGGCGGAAGCCUUCUCAUGGUACUUGGUUCAGUUUGGUUUUCCUUGUUUGUAAAACAAGCUUACUGAUAACAUUGUAAUCUGCUUUCCAUGUCCUGUUUUCUAACGACAGAGUCUCUUUUAAGCAAAAGCAGUUGCCAGAGGAUCGGGGAGGUGUUGGGAGGAGCUGAAGGCAUGCGGUGAAGCUGCACAAGCUGACAAGGGCUCAGUGCUGUUUCUACUUAUUGUCAUGUAACUGCAAUUGGGCUGCCCUGUUUUCCAGUAUCCUUAAAAACAACAAACCCUAGUUGGUCUAAGUGUGAACCUCUGAAUUUAAAGCUGGUGUUAGCAUACGGAUGUACAGUAGCUAGAAAGCCUUCCUGGGUUCACCCGCACGCACUGGACCACCAGGGGGCGCUGAAACCACAGCUUUAAUGCAGACGGAGCCAUAGUGCCCAUCAGUUCUGUUUGGCCAUAUUAUAAGAAUUUUCUUCCUCUGAUAGCAACCCUCCUUUCUCCCAGGUUUUGUUUAUUUGUUUUUGUUUGUUUGUUUGUUUGUUUGUUUGUUUUUCGAGACAGGGUUUCUCUGCGUUGCCCUGCCUGUCCUGUAACUCACUUUGUAGACCAGCUGGCUGUAGACUCGGAGACCUACCUCAGAUUAAGUGCUGAGAUUAAGAGCUUGCCUCACCACCACCAUCAGGCUUCCUCCCUCCUCUUCCGAAUUUGCCACCAGCCUGUCACUGACAAGUUUGCAAAUGCUAAAACAGUGCCUGUAUGUUUUGAAGUGUAAAGAACAUAUUUCUUUUUUUGUAAUUGAGCUUAAGAGAUAAAAUGAAUGUAUUACUCAUUUGUAAAACUUCCUAAGCAAAAGGUAAAAUUAUGCACAACUGGUAACCAUCAAUUGUUUAUCAUUCACAAAUCAAAUAUUUUCGUUAUUUAACCACUGAUAGUAAUUCAUUAUAAAACCAUUCUUUUGCACAGUUAGGAAUGCUGACCAAGAAACUGCAUUAUUUAAAUUAAAUGCUAAACAAGAAUUUG